UACGUAGGGUGCGAGCGUUAAUCGGAAUACUGGGCGUAAAGCGUGCGCAGGCGGCGCGUUAAGACAGGUGUGAAAGCCCCGAGCUUAACUUGGGAAUUGCGCUUGUGACUGGCGUGCUGGAGUGUGGCAGAGGGAGGUGGAAUUCCACGUGUAGCAGUGAAAUGCGUAGAUAUGAUGGAGGAACACCGAUGGCGAAGGCAACCCCCCUGGGUUAACACGACGCUCGAUGCACGAAAAGCGUAC
rnacentral:rRNA from 1 species